GUGAAAGACGGUGGCUCAACCAUCGUUAGCCAUUGAAACUGGUAGUCUUGAGUGCAGACAGGGAUGCUGGAACUCGUGGUGUAGCGGUGAAAUGCUUAGAUAUCACGAUGAACUCCGAUCGCGAAGGCAGGUGUCCGGGCUGCAACUGACGCUGAGGCUCGAAAGUGUGGGUAUCAAACAGGAUUAGAUACCCUGGUAGUCCACACAGUAAACGAUGUAUACUCGCGGUUUGCGAUAUAAUGUAAGCCGCCAAGCGAAAGCAUUAAGUAUACCACCUGGGGAGUACGCCGGCAACGGUGAAACUCAAAGGAAUUGACGGGGGCCCGCACAAGCGGAGGAACAUGUGGUUUAAUUCGAUGAUACGCGAGGAACCUUACCCGGGCUUGAACUAAGAGUGACAGAUUUAGAGAUAGAUCUUUCUUCGGACACUCUUGGAGGUGCUGCAUGGUUGUCGUCAGCUCGUGUCGUGA
rnacentral:rRNA from 1 species